CGUUUUAUAAUUUACAUUUAUAUAUUAUAUCUUUAUAUUUUAUAUAUUUAUAAUUUAUAUUUUACAUAAAAUACUUUAAAUUCUAUAUUUUUAAAACACCACAUAAUUUUUUCAUAAUGAUAAAAGAAUGUCUUAAGACUGUGUUGGGAGGGAGUUCCCGUCAUGGCUCAGUGGUUAACGAACCUGACUAGCAUCCAUGGGAACGCACGUUCAAUCCCUGGCCUCGUUCAGUUGGUUAAGGAUCUGGCGUUGCUGUGAGCUGUGGUAUUGGUCGCAGACGUGGCUUGGAUCUGGAGUUGCUGUGGCUUUUUUAACAUCUGAUGACAAGUUACAAGACAAUUUCACAUCCGUUAUCUCAUUUUCUCCUCCCACCAGCUUUGGCACAUGGGUAAUUUGUAUUCUCUUCCAUUUUCAGCAGAGGAAAAAGUAGCUCAAAAGCUAAGGAACAUACUUUAGGUGACAGCCAGAAAAUUAUGGGACUGGGAUUCAGCCCCAAACUUGUAACAGUUAUAGGAGCGGUGGAGCUUUGUAACAAUCUAAAAGGUCUUGAAUCUAGAAAGCUGGAGGUACAAAAUUGAUAGCCAUCAGAAUAGAAGUAAUAUUUGAAGUUCUAGGUCAAUCAAAACUUGGAACCCUGGAAAAAUGACACGAUGGGAUUCCCAUAAACAAACCAAGAUGGCAUGGCUUUGUGAUGGCAGAGAAAAGCAAGAUAAGGAAGCUCAUGCUGUUGGCAGUCUGAAGUCACAAUCUGGAGAAUGGAAAUCUUUGUCUAUUGUGUGAAAAUACAGAGUAUGGAGGAGGAGGAAAAAGAAAAAGAGAGAAGGGGGAGGAGGAAACAUAAUAGUUCUAUCCAACACAAUCCAGAUCAAACCUAAAAUCCAGGCCCCUAUUUAUUAUGAGAAACACAGAUGUGACCAAAAAUAAUAAAAUGUGACUAUUCACAGCCUCUUUCCCUCCUUAGCCCUCUCUCCCAAAGGAUUAUUUCUUGCUCAAUUAUCCAGUCAGUCCCUAGACACUUUUAUGAAUAGUGAGGCAAUCAACAAGAGGAAGAGGAUACCAGGAUUUAGAACAGAAAGGGAAAUAAGUAAAGACAAGAGAAACAGAUGUAUGUGGACAUGAAGAGAGAAUGUGUAGGCUAGGGUAAGAAUGUUCAGAGCUUGCAGUGGGAAAGAAAUGAGGCUUUGGUAUAGUUGUGUUGUACAGGAGGAUGGUCGAGAGAAGAGAACUGGGCACACCCUCAGAUGGGUCAUCAGGUGGGGGCGGGCGGGGGGGAAGCAGUCACACAAGCAAGAGAGAGCAAGUCAUGAAUCUGGGCAGAUAACCAGAGAGGCAGAAAGGGCCACAAAAAGGGUCACACCUCCUGAGAAAGAGCCCAAGGCCAGGGUGACUCUGAGGCAAAGUCUAUGCAUCCAUGAUUUGCUUAUCAAGACAGGAACCAGUUCCUCAGCAUGCAAAGGUCCUGACCAGUAGAUGCCAGAGACAAAGGGGCCAUGUUCCACUGAAGAAAGGAGAGAAAGCAGAGACUGAAGAAAACCUUCAGAUGCAAUAAGGGAGAACUAUGUCCUGGCUAAGAGCCCAGCUCUGCCACUUGCUCACUGGUGAACUUGGGAAAUCCCUCCCCUCUCUAAGCUGCCACACAUCCUCUGGAUAAUGAGAGGAUGUGGCUGGGUGAUGUCUGGGGGCUCUUCUGGCUCCGACCCUCAGCCUCAGUACCCCACUUGGCUACAGGUACGUGCGCUGUCUCCUUCCGCCAGAACAUCUGCAACAGACAGAAAAGUCCUGUUUGACAGCUGUGGCUGUUGCCAUGAGGAAUCCCCCUGCUGACCCCAACCUAGCCUGCAGCUUUCUCAUCACCAGGCCCUUCACUACUGCCGCCCACCUGCCUCUAGGACAGAACCACCAGCCACACACACUUCCUCAUAUACCAGGCUCCAACGUUGUCUUCCUCAGCAUGUCCCUCGUCCUGGGCCUCUGGCCGUGCUCAGGCCUUUGUCCACCCAAAACAGGAAUGUCACCCACCAAACAUUGCUUUAUGCUUCCGAGUAUGUUCUAUGACUGGAAGGAGCUGGUCCCCCACCACCACCCCUUUUCAAUACUAUCUUCUCUGGUUCCUUAGUCUCCUAAAACUCUCAAGCUGGAUAAUUAAUUUUUUUUUUUUUAUGGCUGCACCUACAGCACAGGGAAGUUCCCAGGAAUCAGAACCACAGCUGCUGGCCUACCUCACAGCCACCGCAACAUAGGAUCCAAACAGUAUCUGUGACCUACACCAAAGUUUGCAGCAACACCGGAUCCUUAACCCAUUGAGCGAGGCCAAGGAUUGAACCCACAUUCUCAUGCAUACUAGGUUCUUUUUUUUUUUUUUUUGCUAUUUCUUGGGCC
rnacentral:lncRNA from 1 species